ACGAACGCUGGCGGCGUGCUUAACCCAUGCCAGUCGAACGGAAAGGCCCUGCUUUUGUGGGGUGCUCGAGUGGCGAACGGGUGAGUAACACGUGAGUAACCUGCCCUUGACUUUGGGAUAACUUCAGGAAACUGGGGCUAAUACCGGAUAGGAGCUCCUGCUGCAUGGUGGGGGUUGGAAAGUUUCGGCGGUUGGGGAUGGACUCGCGGCUUAUCAGCUUGUUGGUGGGGUAGUGGCUUACCAAGGCUUUGACGGGUAGCCGGCCUGAGAGGGUGACCGGCCACAUUGGGACUGAGAUACGGCCCAGACUCCUACGGGAGGCAGCAGUGGGGAAUAUUGCCCAAUGGGCGGAAGCCUGAUGCAGCAACGCCGCGUGCGGGAUGACGGCCUUCGGGUUGUAAACCGCUUUCGCCUGUGACGAAGCGUGAGUGACGGUAAUGGGUAAAGAAGCACCGGCUAACUACGUG
rnacentral:rRNA from 1 species